CUACGGGCGGCACCAGUGGGGAAUAUUGCACAAUGGAGGAAACUCUGAUGCAGCAACGCCGCGUGGAGGAUGACACUUUUCGGAGCGUAAACUCCUUUUAUAUAGGAAGAAGAUGACGGUACUAUAUGAAUAAGCGCCGGCUAACUCCGUGCCAGCAGCCGCGGUAAUACGGAGGGCGCAAGCGUUUCUCGGAAUCACUGGGCGUAAAGAGCGUGUAGGCGGAUUAAAAAGUCAGAAGUGAAAUCCUAUAGCUUAACUAUAGAACUGCUUCUGAAACUCUUAAUCUAGAAUAUGGGAGAGGUAGAUGGAAUUUCUGGUGUAGGGGUAAUAUCCGUAGAGAUCAGAAGGAAUACCGAUUGCGAAGGCGAUCUACUAGAACAUUAUUGACGCUGAGACGCGAAAGCGUGGGGAGCAAACAGGAUUAGAUACCCGUGUAGUC
rnacentral:rRNA from 1 species